GGCCUCGUGGUGGAAUUGGUAGACACAAAGGACUUAAAAUCCUUGCCCAUUUGGGAGUGCCGGUUCGAGUCCGGCCGAGGCUACCA
rnacentral:tRNA from 2 species